rnacentral:rRNA from 1 species
AGGUGCGAUCAUACCAGCACUAAUGCACAGGAUCCCAUCAGAAAUCCGCAGUUAAGCGUGCUUGUGCGAGAGUAGUACUAGGAUG